AGACCGUAAAAUAUAUAUAUAUAUAUAUAUAUAUAUAUAUAACUACUACAUAUAACAAUAGAAAUUUAUUUAACGUAAAUAUGAUAAAGGUAUAGAAGUUUAGAACAGUACGUUCCCAAUGUCCUUACAGGUUCGCAUUAUGUCAGUUGAAUGAAGUUUGAACAUAGCUACAAUAAAAUAACAUCCGUCCCCUAAGCUACAUAGGCUGAAUGGAGUUUGAUUAAAGUGGUCAGUGUGUUUAAAUUUAGAUCGUUACAAUUGCUCGACCCUCGUGGUUUCGUAAUGUAUAGUACCAUUCUAUAGACAAAUCAUCCCCGAGUUCUUCAUCACCAAAAUCAUCAUCUCUUUUUCCGGCAGACGUCAUAGGACGAACAGGUAACGGGCCAAUGGGAUCAACAUAAGGAGUACCUAUAGAAAAUAUUUUACAUGCACUUGUAACACCUCUUUGUGUAGUAUUUCCUUUUAAAUCGUUUAAAAAGUCGAUAAUAAACAAUAAGAUGCCGUACAAGUUUGGGAUUCAUUAUUGUAUACAAGGAUCAAAAAUAGACUAUUCAAAAUAGCUAGACUCAUCUAUCAUCUAUUCAAUCCAUUAGCGUAGUUCAACUAUCAUCGGUAAAUCAUCCUUGUUAAUGUUCAUUUCAAAUAAAGCUACGUAUUCCCGACACUUUGAUAACUGUACUAAGCAUUCGUAUAUCUACUAUUUUGCAAAUUAUACCGAUCAUAAAAUUUAUUAUUUUUUUGUAACGGUUUCAACGCAAAAGAGUGCGUACCUGUUUGAUCAGUGACAUCGUUUGCCACGUCCGUAAUAUUUUCAGUUGCAGAAACUCGAUUAGGUCGCGCGAUACCAGCACUACUUAAACCUUGAUUUUCUCUUCUAUUAAAUGUGGGACUUGACCUGUGGUCUGAUAAUACGCUCAUUCCAGAACCAGUUCGUGAUGAUGCCCCACUAUUACUUCUUCUUGAACCUAUAUAUAGGUGGUGCGGGCCCUUUGGUAGAACUAUUCAUAUUCAAUGGAUCAAAUGGUUGACGAUUACUACUAGUAUAACCAGCUCCUCUGACUGCAGUCAUUGGCCUUAGUCCACUUGUAUUAGGACGCACUGGUAUACCAGUACCACUUCUGUGAAACUAUAAAUAUUAAAUUGCCUAUUAAAACAAUAUUAUGAAAUACAA